GGUUCCCGCUCGCGCCUCUCCCUCCACACCUCCCUGCAAGCUGAGGGAGUGGACUCUGGCCUUGGCCAGCCCAGAAAGGGGCUCCCACAGUGCAGCCGUGGGCUGAAGGGCUCCUCAAGUGCCGCCAAAGUGGGAGCCCAGGCAGAGGAGUCGCCGAGAGCGAGCGCGGGCUGUGAGGACUGCCAGCACGCUGUCACCUCUCAAUAACGCCCAUCCCAACGUUUCCUGAGGAAUAAUUUUGGUCGUGUUCCUGCUACUCAGCUUUUCGUGGUUCCUGCUCAUUUUCAGAGUCUAACAUUCCAGCUUUUCCGGAAAUUCUAUACUUUGAUGUAAAAGUUUUCAAAGAAAUGCUUUGGGCAGAAGAGACUCAUGGAAACUGGACACUAUAUCUGGAGCCAGGAAUAAUAGGAUCCGAGAAACAGUAACAAGUAUAAAACAAAGUGGUCUUGAACUCCUGGCCUCAAGUAAUCCUCCCCACUGGGCUUCCCAAAGUGCUGGGACUACAGAGGUGAGCCAAUACAUCAAGCCCAAUUGUUGUUUCAGUUAUGCUUGCUACACUUGCAAAGCCAAGCAAAUGUUACAAAUGUGCAAGAAAUUAGAGGUAUGGUAAGAUGUUGCUUAAUCACUAUUGGGUAAUUGUUGGACAGCUUUCAGAAUCUCUACAUUCCCCAAACCGGUUUCAGAUGAAAUUUUAGACCAGACUGCUAUGCAAUUUUACAUAGUAAUUAGUAUAAUAAUCUCUAAGCAGGGCAUUCUCCAAUUUUUACCCUCC